rnacentral:rRNA from 1 species
AUACGGAGGGUGCGAGCGUUAAUCGGAAUUACUGGGCGUAAAGCGUACGUAGGCGGUUUGCUAAGUCAGAUGUGAAAGCCCCGGGCUUAACCUGGGAACUGCAUUUGAUACUGGCAGGCUAGAGUAUGAUAGAGGGGGGUAGAAUUCCUGGUGUAGCGGUGAAAUGCGUAGAUAUCAGGAGGAAUACCAGUGGCGAAGGCGGCCCCCUGGAUCAAUACUGACGCUGAGGUACGAAAGCGUGGGGAGCGAACAGGAUUAGAUACCCUUGUAGUCC